rnacentral:rRNA from 1 species
CUGAUGCAGCGACGCCGCGUGAGGGAUGAAGGCCUUCGGGUUGUAAACCUCUUUCAGCAGGGAAGAAGCGAAAGUGACGGUACCUGCAGAAGAAGCGCCGGCUAACUACGUGCCAGCAGCCGCGGUAAUACGUAGGGCGCAAGCGUUGUCCGGAAUUAUUGGGCGUAAAGAGCUCGUAGGCGGUUUGUCGCGUCUGCUGUGAAAACCCGAGGCUCAACUUCGGGCUUGCAGUGGGUACGGGCAGACUAGAGUGCGGUAGGGGUGACUGGAAUUCCUGGUGUAGCGGUGGAAUGCGCAGAUAUCAGGAGGAACACCGAUGGCGAAGGCAGGUCACUGGGCCGCAACUGACGCUGAGGAGCGAAAGCAUGGGGAGCGAACAGGAUUAGAUACCCUGGUAGUCCAUGCCGUAAACGUUGGGCACUAGGUGUGGGGCUCAUUCCACGAGUUCCGUGCCGCAGCAAACGCAUUAAGUGCCCCGCCUGGGGAGUACGGCCGCAAGGCUAAAACUCAAAG